ensembl:lncRNA
GUACUGUGUACUGAAGCCUUGCUAAGUCCAGAAACUGUGGAUUUGGGACAUUUACCCUCACUAUGAUCUUUUUCCCACCUCAGGCCUCAGUAUGUAGAAGAUCUUUGGUUGAGUCUCAAUUUGGAGAUGGAAAGUCAGCACUGUCCUGGAAAAUGCCUUUUUCCAGAAGCUUUCUGCCUUACAAACAAGGGCCAAAUGUUUGAGGAUGUCCUUUGAAAUGUUCUGAUGAAGAUCUCCACAGCUGAACUUUGAAAAUAAAAGUUACUAUAACAAUUGAAGAUAAAUUUAG